rnacentral:rRNA from 1 species
GACGAACGCUGGCGGCGUGCCUAAUACAUGCAAGUCGAGCGGAUCUUCAUUAGCUUGCUUUUGAAGAUCAGCGGCGAACGGGUGAGUAACACGUGGGCAACCUGCCUGUAAGACUGGGAUAACUUCGGGAAACCGGAGCUAAUACCGGAUAAUCCUUUUCCUCUCAUGGGGAAAAGCUGAAAGACGGUUUCGGCUGUCACUUACAGAUGGGCCCGCGGCGCAUUAGCUAGUUGGUGAGGUAACGGCUCACCAAGGCGACGAUGCGUAGCCGACCUGAGAGGGUGAUCGGCCACACGGGGACUGAGACACGGCCCAGACUCCUACGGGAGGCAGCAGUAGGGAAUCUUCCGCAAUGGACGAAAGUCUGACGGAGCAACGCCGCGUGAGCGAUGAAGGCCUUCGGGUCGUAAAGCUCUGUUGUCAGGGAAGAACAAGUACCGGAGUAACUGCCGGUACCUUGACGGUACCUGACCAGAAAGCCACGGCUAACUACGUGCCAGCCGCCGCCGUAA